rnacentral:rRNA from 1 species
GACGAACGCUGGCGGCGUGCCUAAUACAUGCAAGUAGAACGCUGAAGGAGGAGCUUGCUCUUCUGGAUGAGUUGCGAACGGGUGAGUAACGCGUAGGUAACCUGCCUGGUAGCGGGGGAUAACUAUUGGAAACGAUAGCUAAUACCGCAUAACAGUAGAUGUUGCAUGACAUUUGCUUAAAAGGUGCAAUUGCACCACUACCAGAUGGACCUGCGUUGUAUUAGCUAGUUGGUGGGGUAACGGCUCACCAAGGCGACGAUACAUAGCCGACCUGAGAGGGGGAUCCGCCACACUGGGAAUGGAACACCGGCCAAGAUCCUACGGGGAGGAGCAGUAGGGAAUCUUCGGCAAUGGACGGAAGUCUGACCGAGCAACGCCGCGUGAGUGAAGAAGGUUUUCGGAUCGUAAAGCUCUGUUGUAAGAGAAGAACGAGUGUGAGAGUGGAAAGUUCACACUGUGACGGUAUCUUACCAGAAAGGGACGGCUAACUACGUG